AGCAGCCGCGGUAAUUCCAGCUCCAAUAGCGUAUAUUAAAGUUGUUGCAGUUAAAAAGCUCGUAGUUGAAUUUCGGGGUCAGUAGGUUGGUCGUGCCACGGGUAUGUACUGGUCUCACUGAUUCCUCCUUCCUGAUGAACCGUAAUGCCAUUAAUUUGGUGUUGCCGGGAAACUGGAACUGUUACUUUGAAAAAAUUAGAGUGUUUAAAGCAGGCUAACGCUUGAAUACAUUAGCAUGGAAUAAUGAAAUAGGACGUUCGAUCUUAUUUUGUUGGUUUCUAGGAUUGACGUAAUGAUUAAUAGGGAUAGUUGGGGGCAUUAGUAUUCAAUUGUCAGAGGUGAAAUUCUUGGAUUUAUUGAAGACUAACUACUGCGAAAGCAUUUGCCAAGGAUGUUUUCAUUAAUCAAGAACGAAAGUUAGGGGAUCGAAGACGAUCAGAUACCGUCGUAGUCUUAACCAUAAACUAUGCCGACUAGGGAUCGGAUGAUGUUAAUUUUUUAAUGACUCAUUCGGCGCCUU
rnacentral:rRNA from 1 species